UCACGCCUCCUUCUCAACCGAUGUCGCAAAACUUGCCCAGAGGUGGCAUUUGAACCGCGGAUCUUACGUUUCUGAGGCAAGUGCGCUACCACUGCGCCACGGCUGCUUAUCUAUUGCUUAUCUAUUGCUUAUCUAUUAUUAUCUAUCUAUUUGAAUUUUCGAGCAGAUUGGAAUUUCUUAAGAUCAUAAGCAUUAUUCGCAUCAUUGCACUCAGCUAUGAGUUCCCAAUUGGUUUCAUGUAUCAAGUCGCGAAAUUUUUUUAUAGAAUUGUUGUUUAUUUGUCUGACGUAGGUCGUAGAGAAAUUAUUAUCUUCAAUGGUUAAGCGAUUGAUUAUCAGAAAAUUUGGAAAACGGUCACUUAUAUCCGAUUUUAAGAUACCACUUUUAUUUUUAUAAAGCAUGUAGUUAUUUGUUUUAUAUAUUUGUUAUAUA